AUCAAGUCGAACGGGGAUCGUCGGGUGUAGCAAUACAUCGGCGGUUCUAGUGGCGCACGGGUGAGUAACACGUGGGUAACCUGCCUUGAGUUCGGGAUACCCUUUCGAAAGAAGGCUAAUACCGGAUACGUUCCUCGGUUGCGAAAUCUGGGGAGGAAAGGUGGCGAAAGCUACCGCUCUUGGAGGGGCUCGCGGCCUAUCAGCUAGUUGGUAAGGUAAUGGCUCACCAAGGCUAUGACGGGUAGCUGGUCUGAGAGGACGACCAGCCACACGGGAACUGAGACACGGUCCCGACUCCUACGGGAGGCAGCAGUGGGGAAUUUUCCGCAAUGGGCGAAAGCCUGACGGAGUGACGCCGCGUGGGGGAAGAAGGCCUUCGGGUCGUAAACCCUUUCAGGGAAGGGACAUGGUAAACGGGACGGUACCUCUAGGAAGAAGUCCUCGGCUAACUCGUGCCAGCAGCCGCGGUAAAGACAGUAGGAGGCAGAGCGUUAUCCGGAAUUCACUGGGCGUAAAGCGGCGUGUAGGCGGUUCUGCAAGUCGGUUGUGAAAGCCUCUGGCUCAACUGGGGGAAGGUCAGCCUGAUACUGCGGUACUGGAGGGAUGCAGAGAGGAAGGUGGAAUUCCCGGUGUAGCGGUGGAAAUUGUCGUAGAGAUUCGGGAGGAACAACCAGUGGCGUAAGCGGCCUUCUGGGCUGACCACUGACGCUGAGACGCGAAAGCGUGGGUAGCAAACGGGAUUAGAUACCCCGGUAGUCCACGCCCUAAACGAUGUAGGCUAGGUGUUGGCGAGAUUACUCGUCCGUGCCGUAGCAAACGCGUUAAGCCUACCGCCUGGGGACUACGAGCGCAAGCUUAAAACUCAAAGGAAUUGACGGGGGCCCGCACAAGCAGCGGAGCGUGCGGUUCAAUUCGAUGCAACACGAAGAACCUUACCAGGGUUUGACAUGUGCAUAGUAGGGAAGCGAAAGCGGACCGAUCCGCAAGGAAGUGCACACAGGUGAUGCAUGGCUGUCGUCAGCUCGUGCCGUGAGGUGUUGGGUUGAGUCCCCCAACGAGCGCAACCCCUGUCGCCAGUUACAAGUGUCUGGCGAGACUGCCGGAUUAUUCCGGAGGAAGGCGGGGACGAGGUCAAGUCAGCAUGUCCUUUAUAUCCUGGGCGACACGCACGCUACAAUGGGCGUUACAAUGCGUGGCCAAGCCGCGAGGUGGAGCUAAUCGCAGAAAAGCGCCCUCAGUUCAGAUUGCAGGCUGCAACCCGCCUGCAUGAAGUCGGAGUUGCUAGUAAUGGCAGAUCAGCACGCUGCCGUGAAUACGUUCCCGGGCCUUGUACACACCGCCCGUCACAUCACGAAAGUGGAUUGUACUAGAAGUCUGCAGGCUGACCCGCAAGGGGGGCAGCGGCCCAAGGUAUGAUCCAUGAUUGGGGUG
rnacentral:rRNA from 1 species